GAUGAACGCUGGCGGCGUGCCUAAUACAUGCAAGUCGAGCGAACAGAUAAGGAGCUUGCUCCUUUGACGUUAGCGGCGGACGGGUGAGUAACACGUGGGUAACCUACCUAUAAGACUGGAAUAACUCCGGGAAACCGGGGCUAAUGCCGGAUAACAUUUAGAACCGCAUGGUUCUAAAGUGAAAGACGGUUUUGCUAUCACUUAUAGAUGGACCCGCGCCGUAUUAGCUAGUUGGUAAGGUAACGGCUUACCAAGGCAACGAUACGUAGCCGACCUGAGAGGGUGAUCGGCCACACUGGAACUGAGACACGGUCCAGACUCCUACGGGAGGCAGCAGUAGGGAAUCUUCCGCAAUGGGCGAAAGCCUGACGGAGCAACGCCGCGUGAGUGAUGAAGGUCUUCGGAUCGUAAAACUCUGUUAUUAGGGAAGAACAAAUGUGUAAGUAACUGUGCACGUCUUGACGGUACCUAAUCAGAAAGCCACGGCUAACUACGUG
rnacentral:rRNA from 1 species